UACGUAGGGGCCGAGCGUUGUCCGGAGUUACUGGGCGUAAAGCGCGCGCAGGCGGCUCGUCAAGCCUGACGUGAAAGCCCCCGGCUCAACCGGGGAGGGUCGUCGGGGGACUGGCGGGCUUGAGGGCGGCAGGGGCUGGUGGAAUCCCCGGUGUAGUGGUGAAAUGCGUAGAGAUCGGGGGGAACACCCGUGGCGAAGGCGGCCAGCUGGGCCGACCCUGACACUGAGGCGCGAAGGCGUGGGGAGGCGAACGGG
rnacentral:rRNA from 1 species